AACGAACGCUGGCGGCAUGCCUAACACAUGCAAGUCGAACGAUUGCCUUCGGGUGAUAGUGGCGCACGGGUGCGUAACGCGUGGGAAUCUGCCCUUGGGUUCGGAAUAACAGCUGGAAACGGCUGCUAAUACCGGAUGAUAUCGCGAGAUCAAAGAUUUAUCGCCUGAGGAUGAGCCCGUGUUGGAUUAGGUAGUUGGUGGGGUAAAGGCCUACCAAGCCGACGAUCCAUAGCUGGUCUGAGAGGAUGAUCAGCCACACUGGGACUGAGACACGGCCCAGACUGCUACGGGAGGCAGGAGUGAGGAAUAUUGGACAAUGGGCGCAAGCCUGAUCCAGCAAGGCCGCGUGAGUGAUGAAGGCCCUGGGGUUGUAAAGCUCUUUUACCCGGGAAGAUAAUGACUGUACCGGGAGAAUAAGCCCCGGCUAACUCCGUGCCAGCCGCCGCCGUAA
rnacentral:rRNA from 1 species